GUUCCAGACUCCUACGGGAGGCAGCAGUGGGGGAUAUUGCACAAUGGGGGGAACCCUGAUGCAGCGACGCCGCGUGGGUGAAGAAGCGCCUCGGCGCGUAAAGCCCUGUCAGCAGGGAAGAAAAUGACGGUACCUGAAGAAGAAGCCCCGGCUAACUACGUGCCAGCAGCCGCGGUAAUACGUAGGGGGCAAGCGUUAACCGGAUUUACUGGGUGUAAAGGGGGCGCAGACGGCGAUGCAAGGCAGGAGUGAAAGCCCGGGGCCCAACCCCGGGACUGCGCUUGGAACUGCGCGGCUGGAGUGCAGGAGGGGCAGGCGGAAUUCCUGGUGUAGCGGUGAAAUGCGUAGAUAUCAGGGGGAACACCGGUGGCGAAGGCGG
rnacentral:rRNA from 1 species